UGAACUUUCGAAAUGCGUAACAAUGGCAUGCCUAAAAAUGAACGAGUAAGUUUUUUUCAGGUUUUUUUAUGUAAUUUGUACGAAAACACUUCAGUGUCGGAAGCGAGAUAAAUGAUGUAACUCGAUGUGUGUUUGCAUGAAAUAUUAGUGAAGCUCAAACCGUUU